CGGGAGGCAGCAGUGAGGAAUAUUGGUCAAUGGGCGAGAGCCUGAACCAGCCAAGUCGCGUGAAUGAAGAAGGCGAUACAACGUUGUAAAGUUCUUUUGCAGGGGAGUAAAAAGAGGCACGUGUGCCUUAUUGUAUGUACUUUGCGAAUAAGGAUCGGCUAACUCCGUG
rnacentral:rRNA from 1 species